GCGCCACCCAGCGGCCCGGGUUUGUGGCUGCAGCCCAGCCUCGGAGAUCGCGGAAGAGGUCGGGAGCCGCGCUGCCUCUGGUCUCGGAGAAUCGCAACACAAAGGGAAACCUGAGCCAAAACCGCCACCGAGGCCUCUCUCCGUGCUCAAUCUUAAGGAAUUGAAUUCUGAGGACAACGAAAGCUCCAGAAUGCUGCACACAUGUUCUGCCCAUGUCCCCGAAGACCUCACCAUUCCUGGAGAGUCUGGCAGCUCCUCACUUCCCAAGGACCCAAGGCUGCUGCGAAGUGCUGUCCAGUGACCCCUUGACAUGGUGAAUGAAUACCAAUUUGAGCAGAACUGAUGAUGCUCCCAGGAUUGACCGGAUGAUCCCCCACCCCACUGCACAACGGUGAAAAUAUCUUAACACCUUUGGGCUCUGCUGUGCUCUGCUGUGCUCACUGGGUACAGAAAGGCCCUGAGAAGAUAGCAAAUGUAUUCAGAUUUUUGUUUGUCUGCAGUUUGAUGUAAUAUUGUUUUAUUUUUGGCCCCCAAUUGCUCAGCAAAAGAAAGAACUUGGUUAAGCUGCUGAUUUCCUCUAAAUUGCUGAGCAUAAGGAUUAUAGCUUGAUGAAGUCAUUUAGUACUGAGUGUUUAUUUCAAACCAUGCCAGUGGCUCUUGCUGGUGUUUUGCAUGGGGAAUAUGAUGAUGCUUGGUUUUUGUGGAGUUGAAAUAACUAUGAAUUUACCAGUACCACCUUGAGAGGAGUUUUAAAAUUUUAUUUCACUUUUAGGGCUUGAAAUAUAAACCUCCACUUAGGUUUUUGAGGAAGAUAGCACAGAGAGAAAGCACAUAAACUUUGACUUAAUAACACCAGUUGCAACUUCUCCAGACAUUUCUGAACUCUGAAGCCCGAUAAUCAUCAGUGUUGGAUGUGGCAUACUUAGGACUUCUCCCAAGAAAGCCCUUUGUAAUGGAGUUCCAUUCUGGUAGAAAAGGUAUGCUCGUGACAUCAAUACUAAAGAGAGAGGUGGAAGUAGGAGAUGAGAAUACUACUUACAUAAUAAAUACAUCUCAUCUUCUUUCCACUUUUCUCAUUAUUGUUUUUCUUUUCUCCCUGUUCUCCCAUACCUGAGGAGAAAAGGGUGAGUUGAGAAGGCAGUCUGUGCUUAUCCAAAAUAAUAAAAAAUAAAAUUUGAGAGAAGAAAACUGCUCGCUCUCCAGCUACCCUUUCACCCAUUCGGUAAACGUAUAUUUGUUGAACACUUGUAAAAUGCUAGACAGUGUACUGAGAAUAUACGAACAAAACUGAGUUGCUUCUCAAUUCAGUCAUGCAUACCAUAAACGUUACCAUUUAGCCAGUGCUUGAUUCAGAAAAAAUGAAAACAUAUGCAAUAAAUAUGUAAAAGUAUUCAAAAUGCCGAGAGAGCAAAAACUUGAGGAAAUAACUAGGACCUGUCCUGCAGCCUGCAUAUUCUAUUCGAAGUUUCUGAGGCACACAGGCCACCGUGGAGACUCUGCCAAGCACCCUACAGUUCCGGUGCUAGGGGGUGGCCCCGGAGGGCAGAACGGUUAUGAUCUCUGGAAUCACACAGCCCCGAGCUUCUGUCCCUAUCAUGGCAGACUGCUAAUUUUCCUUCAUUACACAUUUUCCUCUUCGUCCUCAAUUAUAAACCCUGAAUUCAGUUGGGCAUAUGCCUACCAACUGUAGACUGUUCCCAGUCUGCUUGGUAGCUGGGCACAACUUUGAAAUUACACUCUGCUCAAGUAGAAGUGGUGCUUUUAACUUCUAAGAAGUAUCCUUGAGAGAAGUGGAAUUUCUCUUUCUCUGUGUUUUUUAUUCUGCAAGCAAGCAGUUGGCCAAGAAUGCUGGUGCUAGAACCAUGGCAUCAGAUCAUCAGAUGGAAAGCUCGUAUGGAGGACAGCAGAGCAACACCAGCCCCAGAGUGUGAGGACUGUGAAGCUACCCUACCGCUCUGUGUGGCUGUGAGAGGGAAAUAAAACCUGCAUUUGGUUCUUAGGUUCCUGUCAUUUUCAGCCCAGUCUAAUACUAAUAAGACUUUAGGCAAACACAACCUACAACCCACUGAGACUCACUCAGUUUCCUCUUCAUAAAAUAAAAAUAAUGCCCAUUUUUGUACGUGUUAAAAGAAAGAGUAAAUAAAUUUAAUUCAUCUAGAACAAUGCUAGGUAUCCAGUGGGGUUAUUACCAAUAGUAGCUACUCAAAUAUUGUGCUCUACAAGUCUCCAAAACUUAAAUCAAAAUUCCUGUCCCCUGAUAAUCUGUUCUCACAUCAGUCUUCCCAGGGACUGUUUGCGUCUUCAAAAUGGCCCUUCUUCCGAAUUUGGUACAACCAUAGGAAGGAGAUCCAUAGAUUGAUGGGGAAGAAGAGGCUCCCAGCUAGAGAAUGGCAGCUUAAGCGACUCUGAUGAUUGGGUGGGAAGCUAACAUGACAUGAAAAGCACUGUCACACCUUUCAAGUUGUCUCAUCCUACAGUGGUAUUUGAUGCUCCACUUGCCUCUCAGCCUGACACUCAAAUGUAAGUGUAUGUGCCACACAAUCAUGAAAAGGAGGUUCAUGGAGAUAAAUGUUCUCUUAUACUAGACUAAAACAGGAGCAACAGGAAGGGUGGGAGCACCUUUAGUGGGGAAUUUCUUUUUAGUAGAAUGUGUUUGGGGAAGUCAGAAGGAGAAUUUAUCAGGGCUACAACUUCCCCUCCAUCCUUCCUGGUCACCUGCCCUGCUCAUGAUCUAAGGGACUUGGGCAGACUCUGGACCCAGCGAGACAAAUUGUCAGCCCUUAGAGACAGCCUUGGUGGGCGUCAUUUCACGGACAGGCCAACAAGGUUUCAGUACCUGAUUUGUGUUACCGUGGACCACAAGCCAUUUAUAAUAUCCAAACCUCAGUUUCUUCAUCUGU